CAAAUAUUCAUCUGGACCAUUCUGUAGCCAUGCACUGAUGAAACCCACAUCAGAAAUGUAACUCCAAAUGACCCAAAGAAUAGUGGAUGAGGAAAGAUGUUUUCCGCUUCAUUUAUCAGGAAGAUGCAUGGAAUGUUCUUCCUCCCAGAAAUCCACAGAGCUGGCUGCCUCUUCAGUUCUCUUUACUAAUGUGAUCUUAUCAGGAAGGCACUCCCAAGCUACUCUUCCCUGAACUAGUGGCAGCCUCCUCCUGCUGGUCCCCAGCACACCCCUGCUGCAUGUUACCCACCAUUAACAUGUUUAUUGUCUUCUCCCACCACAAUGUAAGGGCCAGGUGAGGUGUCAGAGCCCUGGCAUCAGAAAGUAGUAGACUUGUGGGGAGUAAGAAUAAUUUACUGACAACAGUAUAGGUUUGAAAGAAAAGUUUUAUUAGAUAGAAAGUACUCUGCAUAAGCAGCAGAAGAGUGCAGUGGGGCGCCUCAGCAAGAGAGGGCUGAGCACACCACAGUGGAUUUUUCCUUCGGGGUAUUCAUGGACCUUAAAGCAGGAGCUGAAGGGUAAUUUGGUCCAUAUUAGCCAUGUAGGUCCUGACAAAUAUUGCAGCACUAUUCACAAUAGCAAAGACUUGGAACCAACCCAAAUAUCCAUCAAUGAUAGACUGGAUUAAGAAAAUGUGGCACAUACACACCAUGGAAUACUAUGCAGCCAUAAAAAAGGAUGAGUUCUUGUCCUUUGUAGGGACAUGGAUGAAGCUGGAAACCAUCAUUCUGAGAAAACUAUCUCAAGGACAGAAAACCAAACACCACAUGUUCUCACUCAUAGGUGGGAAUUGAACAAUGAGAACACUUGGACAUAGGGUGGGGAACACCACACACCAGGGCCUGUUGUGGGGUUGGGCGGUGGGGGAGGGAUAGCAUUAGGAGAUAUACCUAAUGUAAAUGAUGAGUUAAUGGGUGCAACACAC
rnacentral:lncRNA from 1 species